CCUACGGGUGGCAGCAGUGGGGAAUAUUGGACAAUGGGGGCAACCCUGAUCCAGCCAUGCCGCGUGUGUGAAGAAGGCCCUCGGGUUGUAAAGCACUUUCAGUGAGGAAGAACGCCUGGUGGUUAAUACCCAUCAGGAAAGACAUCACUCACAGAAGAAGCACCGGCUAACUCCGUGCCAGCAGCCGCGGUAAUACGGAGGGUGCGAGCGUUAAUCGGAAUUACUGGGCGUAAAGCGCGCGUAGGUGGCUUGAUAAGCCGGUUGUGAAAGCCCCGGGCUCAACCUGGGAACGGCAUCCGGAACUGUCAAGCUGGAGUGCAGGAGAGGAAGGUAGAAUUCCCGGUGUAGCGGUGAAAUGCGUAGAGAUCGGGAGGAAUACCAGUGGCGAAGGCGGCCUUCUGGACUGACACUGACACUGAGGUGCGAAAGCGUGGGUAGCAAACAGGAUUAGAUACCCGGGUAGUC
rnacentral:rRNA from 1 species